CUUUGGCAUCAAAGACAUGCAAGUCCUAGAGCUCCUUCUCCGCCUUCAGCAUGUGAAGAUUUUGUCCUUAAGCACCCAGACCAUGUGAAGACUCUAUUACUUUGCAUCUGCCCAACUGUUAUUACUGCGCAACGACGGUCCCAGAAAUAAUGUUUUGUUUCUUUGUACAUAUUUUAGAGUGCAUUCUGUCUUAAUAUACAGAAGAAUCUUUUGUUUGCCAUCAGUUGGCAUAUGAUGUAUGUAUGAAACUUCAGAAGAGAGAGAUAGAGAUAGUAUCAGAUAGAGAUAGAGAGGUUUCUCCUCUCAUCCUUAGCCGAUUUUAGUAGAGUCGGUGAAAAUGGUGUAUAUAGCUUGUAACUCCGAAGAAGAGAAGUACGAACAAUACCAGAGAAGAAAAAAUCUCAGUACUUCCUCCUUCAGUUUUAAUCAAUAAAACUCCCUUUAUUCAUA